GACGAACGCUGGCGGCGUGCCUAAUACAUGCAAGUUGAGCGAUGAAGAUUGGUGCUUGCACCAAUUUGGAGAGCAGCGAACGGGUGAGUAACGCGUGGGGAAUCUGCCUUUGAGCGGGGGACAACAUUUGGAAACGAAUGCUAAUACCGCAUAACAACUUUAAACAUAAGUUUUAAGUUUGAAAGAUGCAAUUGCAUCACUCAAAGAUGAUCUCGCGGUGUAUUAGCUAGUUGGUGAGGUAAAGGCUCACCAAGGCCAUGAUACAUAGCCGACCUGAGAGGGUGGAUGGGCACAAUGGGAACUGGAACCGGGUCCAGAUCCUACGGGAGGGCGCAAGAGGGAAACCUUGGGAAAUGGGGGAAAGCCUGCCGAGGAACGGCGGGUUAAGUGAUGAGGGUCUCGGAACCGUAAACCUCUGUUGUAGGGAAAAACGAUAUGUGGAGUGGAAAGCUCACCUAUUGACGGUAACUACUCAGAAAGCCACGGCUAACUACGUG
rnacentral:rRNA from 1 species